rnacentral:lncRNA from 1 species
AAAGGCAGCAUGGGCAUAUCCUGUCGAGUCGUCUCUCACCAACCAUGCGUCUGCUACCAUUAAUCGUCGUGUUUUGUCUGGUGUUGGUGACCACUGAAGGUGGAAGGUGUCGCAAAUUCGGCCAGGCGUGCGGAAAAUGGAAGAGAAAUGUCUGCCGCUGGUGCUGGAAACCUCACAAGCGUCUCUGCUGUCUUCGGGGCGACACAUACAGGGAAUGCAAAAGAAAAUGUCGCUACCCCGAUCAAUGCACCACAUUGGGAGGUGACUGUCGCAGAGGAUGGUGCUGUGUUCUGUGCAGAGGAAAACAUUGCAAGGGUUAACUGCACCACCUACUGUCGGCUGCCGCUGUCGUCACGGGAUGGAUAACGACUGCAGUGAUGGUGAUGUGUCGCUGCAUGCACAUGGUAUUAACCUUUUUUGUUGAAAGCACUUUUGCAAGAUCGUGUUCGAUUUCUGCACGUGUUUAUGCGAACCGGACAGUGAGCUCCUUGCGAGAGGGCGUUACAUUGAAUACAAUUACGGCAUCG